AGUCGAGCGGAGUUGAUAAGAAGCUUGCUUCUUUGAUACUUAGCGGCGGACGGGUGAGUAACACGUAGGCAACCUGCCCUCAAGUUUGGGACAACUACCGGAAACGGUAGCUAAUACCGAAUAAUUGUUUUCUUCGCCUGAAGGAAACUGGAAAGACGGAGCAAUCUGUCACUUGGGGAUGGGCCUGCGGCGCAUUAGCUAGUUGGUGGGGUAACGGCUCACCAAGGCGACGAUGCGUAGCCGACCUGAGAGGGUGAUCGGCCACACUGGGACUGAGACACGGCCCAGACUCCUACGGGAGGCAGCAGU
rnacentral:rRNA from 1 species